UACGUAGGGGGCGAGCGUUGUCCGGAGUUACUGGGCGUAAAGCGCACGCAGGCGGUCUGUUAAGUUUGGAGUGACAGUUGGUGGCUUAACUGCCAAAGUGCUUCGAAAACUGACAGACUUGAGGGCUUCAGAGGGACACGGAAUUCCGGGUGGAGUGGUGAAAUGCGUAGAGAUCCGGAGGAACACCAGUGGCGAAGGCGAGUCUCUGGACAUUUCCUGACGCUGAGGCACGAAAGCCAGGGGAGCAAACGGG
rnacentral:rRNA from 1 species